rnacentral:lncRNA from 1 species
GUUCCAUCUCAAGCAAGAAAAGAAAACUAAUCCAUGAAAUGAUCAAUAAAAUCCAACUUAGCCAAGGAGUAAAUUCUUCUAAAACUCACAUGACGAAAAUGAAGAACAAGUGGGCUGAUUGUUCUACUGUAGUCUCAGCACAACCUACAUUAAAAAGAGUACGACUUGGAUGGCUAGUAAAAAGAGGAGAUCGUUAUGAGCAAAUGAAGAAACCUAUAGGUGGAGUCAGAGAAGUAACUUUAGAAGUAGGCAAGAAAUAUUUAGUUAGUGAUAUAAAAAAAAAUUGUGAUAGAGAAGUUUUCUUGCAAUAGCGAAGUAUCAUUUCAAAAUUCGGAUGUACGUCUUGGUCUUUUUGAUCGCACUAUACUAACCAGCUUUAGAGACAGCAAGGGUAUUUCCUGUGACUUGUGGACUUUUCUAAAAGAGCAAAAAUCGAGAUUAUUUACUUUGUAUAUAAUAACGUCUCCAAAAGGAUGUGCUGAGACAUGUGAACAACUUAAAACUAUCCAAUCUUCUCACCACGAGAAUGCUAACCCUCAAUUAUCUCGGCCUAAUAAAGAUUUAAAAGGAUCAACAGCAGUUUCUCACAAAAAUUCCGCACCUUUAAAAAAUACUAUUUUUAUGAAUUAUGAAGUGAUCCACCAAUCCGAGUACACUGGUGAUUAUUGCAUAUGUUAUCUACAUAAAAAUGAUUUAUACAACCAUAAAUUGGAUGAAUAUGGUUGUAUGCCAAUUGCUGAAUUUAAUCCGAUUGAUGCUGGUCAUAAAAUAGCUGAAAUUCAAAUGGAUGACAAAGUAUCCAAUGAUGAUUUGUCCCGAGACUUUAAUUUCCCAGCAGUAGAUAUUCUUGAUGAUGACAACCAUUAUAUAUUGUAUGAUGUAAAUGAAUUUCAUGGGAGAUGUGAAGACAAAAAUGGCGUGGGAGUAAUAACUAACUGUACUGAUUCCUGUAAACCAAUUUUCAGUUGGUUCAAGGAUGAUAAAAUUGUCAGCCAAGGCUUAUUAAAGUAUUAGAUAAGUGAUAUUGACCAAGAUUCUGUUUAUAAAUGCAUUGUAAGAUGUAAAUCACAGAAUCUUGAGUUAAUAUCAAGUAACUUUAAGUGGAGUGAAAAUAAUAAAUUCUGUGAAUCUACGCUACAGACUAACACUCUUCAAAUAUUGCCAAAUGCUAUGAAUGGUUCAAUUAAACCAAUUAAAAGAGAAUCAUUCAAAAUUUUCCAGGACAUACUAGGGGCUGGUGCUCAAGGAAAAGUAAAAAAAGGAAAGUGGUGUAAUUUUAAUGUUGCAGUUAAAAGUAUAAAUCUGUCAGGUGCUAAUUUGAAAUUAGCCUGCAGAGAGAUUAAAGUUCUGGAGGACAUUAGACACCCAAACAUCGUACAGUUAAUGGCAUAUUGCAUUGAUAAAAAUUCUGUACACGCUUCCACAGUUAUUCUCUCUCUGACGUAUUGUUUGAUAACGUAUUCGAAAAAGCAGCUGCUUUAACAAUAUUAAAAAAACAUAAAAUUGCUCAGCAAUUUUGUCAGGCUAUUAAUUAUUUACAUUUAAAAGAAAAUCCAAUAAUUCACGGUGACAUAAAGCCUGCAAAUAUUUUGUUACAUGCAAACGGAACUGUAAAAGUUUGCGAUUUAGGACUUAGUAAGUUCAAGAAAAUGUCUAGUUCUUUACGAACAACGGCUGGUGGGACUGGGUUCGUUAAAGGAACUCCGCUGUAUAUGGCACCAGAGUUGAUUCUUGAAAACAAAGAAGAUGUAGAAAAUCCCUUUCAACUUUUUGUUAUUCGUUCAAUUCACUCAAUUUAGACAUGGAAAGCAAACUAGAGAAAGUCAACGGGAAUCUAUGGGAAUGGAUUGUUGGACUAUUGAAGAAUUUCUUCUUAAUACCUUUACGCCUAUCUGCCAUUAUCAAUUUCAACAGAGAAUCCGAAAGACUCGAGAUGUUUAUCCAUUACCGACAUUUGAUGGAUAUUGGUCUAUGCCCAAUAAUUUACCAG